rnacentral:rRNA from 1 species
UCGGGAAUUUUGGACAAUGGGGGCAACCCUGAUCCAGCAAUGCCGCGUGAGUGAAGAAGGCCUUCGGGUUGUAAAGCUCUUUUGUCAGGGAAGAAACGGUAGUAGCGAAUAACUAUUACUAAUGACGGUACCUGAAGAAUAAGCACCGGCUAACUACGUGCCAGCAGCCGCGGUAAUACGUAGGGUGCAGGCGUUAAUCGGAAUUACUGGGCGUAAAGCGUGCGCAGGCGGUUGUGUAAGUCAGAUGUGAAAUCCCCGGGCUCAACCUGGGAAUUGCAUUUGAGACUGCACGGCUAGAGUGUGUCAGAGGGGGGUAGAAUUCCACGUGUAGCAGUGAAAUGCGUAGAUAUGUGGAGGAAUACCGAUGGCGAAGGCAGCCCCCUGGGAUAACACUGACGCUCAUGCACGAAAGCGUGGGGAGCAAACAGGAUUAGAUACCUCAGUAUUCCCUGAGCGGGCUGGCAAGGCGCAU